AGCUACAGAAACUUGAGAUUUUUUGCCAUCCACCUCCAGAAGUGUCCUCUUCCACUUCAAUACCUCUGCCUUUUGGAUAGGCUUGACAUGAACAGUAAUCAGCAACAAAAAGUGCGCCUAAAGUGAACUGUAAUCAGUGGGAAGUAACUGAAGUGAAAUAUUUUCAUACAGAGGUCAUCAUUUUCUUGUGGAAAAUGGUACAAGUACAUAAUUACUUCAAAGCAGGCAGUCUAUGACAAAAUAAAUAAAUACAAGAAACUGAGGAGAUAAAGGCA
rnacentral:lncRNA from 1 species